CUGAAAGGUGCGAAGAAGGUCCCACCCCUCGGAGGGGAGUGGGCCUGGUGUGACGGGGAGUCACGCUCUCUCAGCCCCUCCUACUCCUCGCUCGCCCGCUCGCUCGCUUGCUUCUCUCUCUCCUCCUGGGCGCACCGGGGUUUUGGUGGUGGGAGGUGGGAGGGGAGACCCACGGAGAAGCGACGUCACAGGGUGGAAAUUCCCCGCCGGGUGGGAGGGUCAGCGGGGAGGAGGAAGGAGGGAGCCUCAAAACCUGCCCGAGCCCGAGGCAGUCUUGGCCAGGAAGCCAGAGAGAGAGACAGAGAGAGACGACCAGCUGGAUCCCAGGAGAGGGAUCCCACGCCGGGCAGAGAGAUCUCUUUCUCAAGCCACCAUGGCAGGUAAGCAGGAAGGGAAAUCCAUAACCUAGUCCUAAAAUACCCAGGUAGGAAAUCCCGCAAUAUCUGCUCUGAGCUGGGAUAACCCAGUUUGAAGCAGGUAUGGUGGGAUUUCCUGCCUUGAUAUUCUGGAUUGUAUGACAAUGUGGAAGGGCACCUUGUCUUCUUCAGUGGAGGGAACUGCAUUCAAUCUCACAGGGUUCCAAAGGGAAAGGUCCCAGGUUCGAAUCCUCUCUCUUUGAGGUCACAACACAUGGAGUCUGACACUCCUUGAACCGCAAUCUAUGGCAGGCAGGGGCAAACUUCAGUUUUAGACUUCAACUCCCGCAAUUCGAAUCCCACAACUACUCCCAUGCCUGAUAUAUGGAGCCCCGGAAAAUUAGUUUUGAAAAAACAACAACAACAUUGGGUGCUGUCCCAAAAGAUCGUCAACUCCCACAAUUCAGAUCCCACAAUUCCCAUGCCUGAUAUAUGGAGUCCCGGAAAAUUAGUUUUGAAAGGUCUUCAGACUUCCUUAAUAAUAAUAAUAAUAAUAAUAAUAAUAAUAAUAAUAAUAAUAAUAACAACAACAACAACAACAACAACAACAGGUACCGUCCCAAAAGAUUUCAGCCAGCAUUUGGAAAUAAUAGACAUUGACAAAAUUACGAUCUGCCAACUGCUAAAGGCCACCCUAUUAGGAUCUGCACACAUCAUC
rnacentral:lncRNA from 11 species